rnacentral:rRNA from 1 species
UACAGAGGGGGCAAGCGUUAUUCGGAAUUAUUGGGCGUAAAGGGCGCGUAGGCGACUUUGCAAGUGGCGAGUGAAAUCCCUCGGCUUAACCGAGGAACUGCCUGUCAAACUGCAUGGCUUGAGACCAGGAGAGGUGAGUGGAAUUCCCAGUGUAGCGGUGAAAUGCGUAGAUAUUGGGAGGAACACCAGUGGCGAAGGCGGCUCACUGGACCGGUACUGACGCUGAUGCGCGAAAGCGUGGGGAGCAAACAGG